rnacentral:rRNA from 1 species
AACGCGAAGAACCUUACCUGGGCUUGAACCGCACAGGACCAGCUUGAGAAAUCAGGCCUUCCCGCAAGGGACCUGUGUAGAGGUGCUGCAUGGCUGUCGUCAGCUCGUGCCGUGAGGUGUUGGGUUAAGUCCCGCAACGAGCGCAACCCUUACUCAUAGUUGCUACCCGCAAGGGAGAACUCUAUGAGGACUGCUCCGGAUAACGGAGAGGAAGGUGGGGAUGAGGUCAAGUCAGCAUGGCCUUUAUGUCCAGGGCUACACACGUGUUACAAUGCGCGCCACAAAGCGUCGCGAACCCGCGAGGGGGAGCUAAUCGCAAAAAAGCGCGCUCAGUUCGGAUUGCAGUCUGCAACUCGACUGCAUGAAGCCGGAAUCGCUAGUAAUGGCGCAUCAGAACGGCGCCGUGAAUACGUUCCCGGGCCUUGUACACACCGCGUGUCU